AACGAACGCUGGCGGCAUGCCUAACACAUGCAAGUCGAACGAGACCUUCGGGUCUAGUGGCGCACGGGUGCGUAACGCGUGGGAACCUGCCCUUAGGUUCGGAAUAACUCCCCGAAAGGGGUGCUAAUACCGGAUAAUGUCUUCGGACCAAAGAUUUAUCGCCUUUUGAUGGGCCCGCGUUGGAUUAGCUAGUUGGUAGGGUAAAAGCCUACCAAGGCGACGAUCCAUAGCUGGUCUGAGAGGAUGAUCAGCCACACUGGGACUGAGACACGGCCCAGACUCCUACGGGAGGCAGCAGUGGGGAAGAUUGGACAAUGGGCGAAAGCCUGAUCCAGCAAUGCCGCGUGAGUGAUGAAGGCCUUAGGGUUGUAAAGCUCUUUUACCCGGGAUGAUAAUGACAGUACCGGGAGAAUAAGCUCCGGCUAACUCCGUG
rnacentral:rRNA from 1 species